UGUGGUAGCACAGUAGUUAAGGUGUUGAACUACUAAUUGGAAGGUCAUGAGUUCAAUCCCCAGUACCACCA